CCUACGGGAGGCAGCAGCCAGGAAUCUUGGGCAAUGGGCGCAAGCCUGACCCAGCAACACCGUGUGGGCGAUGAAGGCCUUAGGGUCGUAAAGCCCUGUUGAUAGGGACGAAGGGCGAAGGGUUAAUAGCCCCUAGCCUGACGGUACCUUUCGAGGAAGCCCCGGCUAACUACGUGCCAGCAGCCGCGGUAAU
rnacentral:rRNA from 1 species